rnacentral:rRNA from 1 species
UACGUAGGGGCUAGCGUUGCUCGGAAUCACUGGGCGUAAAGGGCGCGUAGGCGGACUCUUAAGUCGGGGGUGAAAGCCCAGGGCUCAACCCUGGAAUUGCCUUCGAUACUGAGAGUCUUGAGUUCGGAAGAGGUUGGUGGAACUGCGAGUGUAGAGGUGAAAUUCGUAGAUAUUCGCAAGAACACCAGUGGCGAAGGCGGCCAACUGGUCCGAUACUGACGCUGAGGCGCGAAAGCGUGGGGAGCAAACAGGG